rnacentral:tRNA from 7 species
CAUAAUAUAGCUUAAC